rnacentral:rRNA from 1 species
UACGAAGGGGGCUAGCGUUGCUCGGAAUCACUGGGCGUAAAGGGUGCGUAGGCGGGUCUUUAAGUCAGGGGUGAAAUCCUGGAGCUCAACUCCAGAACUGCCUUUGAUACUGAGGAUCUUGAAUCCGGGAGAGGUGAGUGGAACUGCGAGUGUAGAGGUGAAAUUCGUAGAUAUUCGCAAGAACACCAGUGGCGAAGGCGGCUCACUGGCCCGGUACUGACGCUGAGGCACGAAAGCGUGGGGAGCAAACAGG